ACCCAGGUUCCCUCUGGCCGCA
rnacentral:miRNA from 1 species